CUUAACCGGGCGUUAAGUUGCAGGGUAUAGACCCGAAACCCGGUGAUCUAGCCAUGGGCAGGUUGAAGGUUGGGUAACACUAACUGGAGGACCGAACCGACUAAUGUUGAAAAAUUAGCGGAUGACCUGUGGCUGGGGGUGAAAGGCCAAUCAAACCGGGAGAUAGCUGGUUCUCCCCGAAAGCUAUUUAGGUAGCGCCUCGUGAAUUCAUCUCCGGGGGUAGAGCACUGUUUCGGCUAGGGGGCCAUCCCGGCUUACCAACCCGAUGCAAACUGCGAAUACCGGAGAAUGUUAUCACGGGAGACACACGGCGGGUGCUAACGUCCGUCGUGAAGAGGGAAACAACCCAGACCGCCAGCUAAGGUCCCAAAGUCAUGGUUAAGUGGGAAACGAUGUGGGAAGGCCCAGACAGCCAGGAUGUUGGCUUAGAAGCAGCCAUCAUUUAAAGAAAGCGUAAUAGCUCACUGGUCGAGUCGGCCUGCGCGGAAGAUGUAACGGGGCUAAACCAUGCACCGAAGCUGCGGCAGCGACACUGUGUGUUGUUGGGUAGGGGAGCGUUCUGUAAGCCUGUGAAGGUGUGUCGUGAGGCAUGCUGGAGGUAUCAGAAGUGCGAAUGCUGACAUAAGUAACGAUAAAGCGGGUGAAAAGCCCGCUCGCCGGAAGACCAAGGGUUCCUGUCCAACGUUAAUCGGGGCAGGGUGAGUCGACCCCUAAGGCGAGGCCGAAAGGCGUAGUCGAUGGGAAACGGGUUAAUAUUCCCGUACUUGGUGUUACUGCGAAGGGGGGACGGAGAAGGCUAUGUUGGCCGGGCGACGGUUGUCCCGGUUUAAGCGUGUAGGUGUGUGUUCCAGGUAAAUCCGGUUCACUUUAACACUGAGGCGUGACGACGAGGCACUACGGUGCUGAAGCAACAAAUGCCCUGCUUCCAGGAAAAGCCUCUAAGCAUCAGGUAACAUCAAAUCGUACCCCAAACCGACACAGGUGGUCAGGUAGAGAAUACCAAGGCGCUUGAGAGAACUCGGGUGAAGGAACUAGGCAAAAUGGUGCCGUAACUUCGGGAGAAGGCACGCUGACACGUAGGUGAAGUGAUUUACUCAUGGAGCUGAAGUCAGUCGAAGAUACCAGCUGGCUGCAACUGUUUAUUAAAAACACAGCACUGUGCAAACACGAAAGUGGACGUAUACGGUGUGACGCCUGCCCGGUGCCGGAAGGUUAAUUGAUGGGGUCAGCGCAAGCGAAGCUCCUGAUCGAAGCCCCGGUAAACGGCGGCCGUAACUAUAACGGUCCUAAGGUAGCGAAAUUCCUUGUCGGGUAAGUUCCGACCUGCACGAAUGGCGUAAUGAUGGCCAGGCUGUCUCCACCCGAGACUCAGUGAAAUUGAACUCGCUGUGAAGAUGCAGUGUACCCGCGGCAAGACGGAAAGACCCCGUGAACCUUUACUAUAGCUUGACACUGAACAUUGAGCCUUGAUGUGUAGGAUAGGUGGGAGGCUUUGAAGUGUGGACGCCAGUCUGCAUGGAGCCGACCUUGAAAUACCACCCUUUAAUGUUUGAUGUUCUAACGUGGACCCGUUACCCGGGUUGCGGACAGUGUCUGGUGGGUAGUUUGACUGGGGCGGUCUCCUCCUAAAGAGUAACGGAGGAGCACGAAGGUUGGCUAAUCCUGGUCGGACAUCAGGAGGUUAGUGCAAUGGCAUAAGCCAGCUUGACUGCGAGCGUGACGGCGCGAGCAGGUGCGAAAGCAGGUCAUAGUGAUCCGGUGGUUCUGAAUGGAAGGGCCAUCGCUCAACGGAUAAAAGGUACUCCGGGGAUAACAGGCUGAUACCGCCCAAGAGUUCAUAUCGACGGCGGUGUUUGGCACCUCGAUGUCGGCUCAUCACAUCCUGGGGCUGAAGUAGGUCCCAAGGGUAUGGCUGUUCGCCAUUUAAAGUGGUACGCGAGCUGGGUUUAGAACGUCGUGAGACAGUUCGGUCCCUAUCUGCCGUGGGCGCUGGAGAACUGAGGGGGGCUGCUCCUAGUACGAGAGGACCGGAGUGGACGCAUCACUGGUGUUCGGGUUGUCAUGCCAAUGGCACUGCCCGGUAGCUAAAUGCGGAAGAGAUAAGUGCUGAAAGCAUCUAAGCACGAAACUUGCCCCGAGAUGAGUUCUCCCUGAGACUUAAAGUCUCCUGAAGGAACGUUGAAGACGACGACGUUGAUAGGCCGGGUGUGUAAGCGCAGCGAUGCGUUGAGCUAACCGGUACUAAUGAACCGUGAGGCUUAACCUUACAACGCCGAAG
rnacentral:rRNA from 1 species